rnacentral:lncRNA from 1 species
GUGCGCAUGUCGUGGCCGGUGUUCUGCUCGCCACCGGCAGAAAUGGUCGUUGGUCCUCUGCCCCAACUUGUUAGCCAUGAGAGCCCUGCAAAAUAUAAGACCAAGAAGUACAAGGAGUAUAAGUAUUGCAAGAUCAACAAACUGCCACAAUAAAAUGAUUUCUAGUCAUGUUAAAGUCGAGUUUGUCGUCCCUAUGCUGUGAUAUCUGUGCUGCUUAGAGCCUCACAAAGUUUCAGAAAUGGAACCACUGUAAUAACUCCAAGACACCAGCUCAUUUUAGUAGCUCUUAUUGGAGAAGUACCUUAGAAUGAAAACAUUGAAACUAUAUUUGAGGCGGUUAUAUAUAUUCUUCAUGCUCUAUUUAAUAAAUUAUACGUGGGAUGUGGCCUUUCUUUCUUCAAUCACAACAAUGAAAAAAUAUUUCAGAAAAUCUUCUAAGAGUACAUCAUGGCGUUACACCUGACGUCCUCGGUUCAUGGAAAGUUAUACGUAAAAGGCACAGCUACUACAAUUGCCUUGCAGCUUAGAACUCGAACAUUAUUGAGAGUGCCACAUAAUGUGUACCUAUAUGUAUACGGUUUCUUUAUCGAGGGUAGAUGCCAGCAUUGUUUGUAGUUAAUCGGUCCAUUCUGAGAGUAGAGUUGCUAUCAAAGCCCUGUGCAAAUGAAGUUGGGUUUGAUGCCAUUGGGCAUCUUUUGCGGCUGGAAAAGUUGUGUGGAAUUAGAUUUGCACUAACGUUAAGGAUUGCAGGUUACCUUCAAAUGACCGUUCGAACCCUAUAGUAGAAUGGCGAAACAAUGUUGCAGGAUGAACACUACUUGUAAUUAAGAGAAAGGAACUAGAAGGUAGAAGGACGGUAGUGGCUACAAGCUGCAAUGAAAGAGCUUCACGGAAUCCACUAAAGCCUUCAAAACCUGUUGGUUCUAAAAUUUGCAUCAACUAGUAACUUUGUUUUCUCUAUAUUAUCAUAUCUCUAAAGUCAAUAAUUUUUUAUGCGAAACUACUAAACUCAAUCACUAUGCUACAAUUACUUAGCAAUUUUCUAUUGAGAUCUAUUCCAUAGAGGUACUUAAAUUGCAUCUGAUUUCUAGUAUACAUCAUGGUUAAUAGAUAUUGCAUAGUUUAUAAAUUUUAUGAGCCAUAUGUGCGAAAAGCUUAUCAAGCUCAACAAUUUAUUCACAUGAGAGCCAGUUGGCCGGAUUAUAUAAAAAUCAAUCGAGCAUUGGAAUCGAGCCAAGAGUACACACUAAUGAGUAAUUUUAGAAACCAAAUUUGGUAAUUGGAAACAUGGACAUAAAUGGUCUUCAGGCAGUUCUUUGCAAGCAAUGUUUUCUAGUUAUCGAGUUUAACAAUGAUCAAGCUUAUCUGAACAACAAAUGUUUCACAACCGACUGCUAGCUAUAAUUGUCAUGUGUUUUGCAAAACCAUUCACGAGUCUCUUUGUCACGCACUGAACCUAAUAUCCGGAUCGAAUAUGUGAUAACCGCACACUCUUUAAGACAUGCCCUAAAAAAUAUGCAAGGUCCAAAAUAAUUCAUUACAACCUCAACAGCCAUAAUGUCUAAUUUCAAUAAUAAUUAAUAAAACUUACAUAAUUACAAUUUAAAUUCCUUCAAUCUUCUGAUCAGGUAUCAAUGACACUCUAUCUAUGUAUCCGCUCACUCGCAAAUCUAUACCAUAGCAAAUUAUGAGCAUCCUGCAAUUCUGAGAAGAAAAGAAAAAAAAGAGGAGUGUGAACUUUACAGUCCAGUAAGAAUUCCGCAUAUCACACCAAUAUAAUAAUAUAAUAUAAAAAUAAGAAUAAGCAAUAAAACAUAAAAUCUCAUGUUCAAUAUCCAGAAUAUUGUAAACAUUUAAAAAUUAUCUGUUUUGUCAAAAGAGAUGCAUCAUCAUAUGUUAACGGAUGAAACACUUUUAUUUAAUAUUAGUUUCAUAUCUUGUUUUCUAUUUCUCUUUUCAUAAUCACAUUAUCUUUAGCUUUUUUUUCUGACUUUGGACUAACCAAGACUAUGCCUCAGUCUCCAUCCGAUCAAAUUUUCACUCAUAAGCCCAUCAAGGCUGUCCCAGGCAUGAGCUCAUGGCUGGCUGUCCCAUGUAUGAAAAUUCAUGGGGGCUGUCCCAGACACAAGUUCCUGACGGACUAUCCCAGACAUGAGCUCCUAAUCGGCUGAUCCACGUAUAAGCCUAUAGAGACUGUCCCACGCAUAAGCUCCUAGCAGGCUAUCCCAGGCACAAGCUCCUGACGGACUGUUCCACAUGACGAGACUAGUCCAAAUCAUAUCUUUUUUAUUUAAUUAUUAUAUGUUAAUUUCACCAAAUCAAUUUCGAUUUACAAUAUGAUCAAAAUAGAUAUGGCAUAUCCAUAUAAUUAUAUCAUCAAUCACUGGCAUACAUACAUAUUAACAUACAAUAUAUGUACAUUAAAAAAUUAUACGAGAAAUAAUAGUAUCUCAACAUGAUAAUCCAUCAACACGAAUCCAAUGAUAUAAAACCAAAGAUACAAAUCCAACAAUAAAAAUAGUAUACAUAAUGGUGAUCAUGUAUAAAGAUGCUUACCUCUACCGGUGAUCGAUCUAAAUAUAAAUAUCGAUGAGCUCCUCAAUCUACGAAUCCAAAAUCAAGAUAUUUUACUCAAUACUUUUUUGCACAAUAAUUGCAUCUCUACAUGAUUAGGAUUAAAUAUAAAAAAUCAUAUAUAUAAAAAAGUUAUAAAUAAAUGAUCCUAAUAAUAUAAAUCCAGGACCCUCAUAGGAUCAACCAAGAUUGGGAUUACUUAAGUACCUAGACCCUUCACUGAUCUGUAAAACUCUUAGAGAGAAAAUUCAUGAAGAGAGAGAAAAUUUUAGAAAGAGAAAGUAGAGAAAAAAAUGAGCUUUUUAGAGAGAGAAAGUGAAGAGAGAAUCUUCAUAUCCUCCAGACAAUGAAAAUAUGAUCGAGAUCAUCAGAGGUCAUAUCAAGGUGACUCAAUGUGGAUUAACUAUGAUCAGAUGAUAUAAAUUUCGAAUAAGGGUCGGGCUGGGAUCCAAUCUAUUGCACGAAUUUUAAAGUAAUUUUAGGUCAUCUUAUUUUCAUCUCAAGUUUAUCCUAGAAACCGUGAUGCAGUUAGAGAGAGAGUAGAAAGACCUUAGAGAGAGAAGAUGAAAGAGUGAGAGAGAAAAUUCUCUUUUUUUUUCUUUUUUUUUCUUCGUCUUCUUCUUUCUUUUCCUAGCCAAACAGAGGAGGGACACGAGGAAGGGAAUGGGCUUGGUGGCUCGUGCUCCGAUGAGAUGCGAUGGCACGAUCGGAGAUCCGAUAGCGGCGACCGACGGCGGUGGAGCUAGAGAUGGCCAACGGUGAGGUUCGGCCGACGAGAAAUUAAAAAAAAAAUCAAAAAAAUAAGGGACCGCCCCUCUUUUCUUUGAUUUUCUCGAUUAUCGAUCGAUCAUCGAGGACCAAACCUCUGGAGAAGGAAACUAAGGAGGUAGGGGUCAUGACCCAUAGGUGUGACACCAUAGGCGGUGAUGCUGGUGGUCGGAAAAGAGAGGGAGAAGGCUCGUUCAAAACAGAGAAAAAUAGAAUUUUUAUUUUUUUGUGGGAUUUUUGAUGAACCCGAUGGCCGGUGGGGGUGCAUGAUACCAUGAGAAGGAGGGGAAGAAAGAGAGGAAGGAGGGCUGGGGCUUAUCUCCAUCUCCGGUGAGGUCUCUGACGAGGAUUUGAGGCAAACAUAAAGAGAGUGUCGGUGGCUUCAACGAAAAAAUUCGAAAGAAAGAAGAGGGAGAAAUUGGUGCUCGUCGUGGCCAACUAUGGAGGAAGAAGGAAGAGUUUUAUGAGGCUCUUCCUAGGGUUCUUAUUUGCCCCAGGAGACCCUCUCCUAAUCGAGCAAGAGGAGGAAGAUGGAGUCUUCUUUCAAAUUUUUUUUUUUUCAAGUGGGCUUGGUGGGCCUAAUCUUAGUGGGCUUAUAUAAAUUAGGACUGGAUAUCACAUUCCACCUCCCUUUAAAAAAAGUUUCGUCCUCGAAACUAGGAUGCUGCAAGUCAAAAUCUUAAGAGUAUAAACUUUUCAUCUUGUCUUCAUGCUCAAAGAUAACUUUCUUUAUUGAAAAAAUGAAAUUCAAAUCCUCUACCAUAACAUCUUCGCUUAAAUCACCACACUUUCGCCUUUAAAUUUAUCAAAUUUCUCGAGAUUUACUAAAUAAUCUUCAAUCAAUUAAGAUCAUAAUUUGUCACUCUGAUACCAUUUACGUCACCAUCCUUAGUGGUCAUAAUCUGAAGUUUGAUAUCCUUCUACCAUACUCCAAUAAUUAUAACCCAAAGUUUUGAUAUAGCUUAUGUUACAGUCCCUAGUGAUAUUAAAUCUAAGCUCUGGUACCAUGCUAUCAUAUCAUAAUCACUUAUAUCAUAGUCUCCAAAUGAUCAUAACCAAAGCUCUGAUACCACUCUGCCACUUCUUAUUGAUUAUACACAAAGUUUUGAUAUCAUUUCACAGUCCCUAAUGAUCUUAAACCUAAACUCUGAUAUCACUCUGUCACACUCCGAACUCAAUAUCCGAGUCGGAUACGUGAUGGCCGCACACUCCUUAGGGCAUGUCCUAAAGAAUAUGCAAGGUCCAAAAUAAUUCAUUACAACCUCAACAUCCAUAACGUCUAAUUUCAAUAAUAAUUAGUAAAACUUGUAUAAUUAUAAUUUAAAUUCCUUCAAUCUUCUGAUCAGAUAUCAAUGACACUCUAUCUAUGCAUCCGUUCACUUGCAAAUCCAUACCAUAGUAAAUUAUGAGCAUCCUGCAAUUCUGAGAAGAAAAAAAAAGGAUGAGUGUGAGCUUUACAGCCUAGUAAAAAUUUCGUAUAUCACAUCAAUAUAAUAAUAUAAUCUGAAAAUAAGAAUAAGAAAUAAAAUAUAAAAUCUCAUGUUCAAUAUUCAGAAUACUGUAAACAUUCAUAAAUUAUCUGUUUUAUCAAAAGAGAUGCAUCAUUAUAUGUUAACAGAUGAAAUACUUUUAUUCAGUAUUAGUUUCAUGUCUUAUCUUCUAUUUCUCUUUUCAUAAUCACAUGAUAUUUAACCUUUUUCUUUCCGACUUUAGACUAACCAAGACUAUGCCUUAGUCUCUAUCCGAUCAAAUUUUCACUAAUAAGCCCAUCAAGGCUGUCCCAGGCAUGAGCUCCUAUUUGGCAGUCCUACGUAUGAAAGUCCGUGGGGGCUGUCCUAGGCAUAAGUUCCUGACAGACUAUCCCAGGUAUGAGUUUCUGACCAACUGAUCCACGUAUAAGCCCAUGGGGGCUGUCCCAGAUAUAAGCUCUUAGCAGACUGUCCUAGGCAUAAGCUCUUGACGGACUAUUCUACAUGACGAGGCUAGUCCAAAUCAUUUUUUUUUAUUUAAUUAUUAUAUGUUAAUUUUACUAAAUCAAUUCUGAUUUAUAGUGUGAUCAAAAUAAAUAUGUCAUAUCCAUAUAAACAUAUCAUCAAUCACUGGCAUACAUACAUAUUAACACACAAUAUAUGUACAUUGAAAAAUCAUACGAGAAAUAAUAAUAUCUCAACAUGAUAAUCCAUGAACAUGAAUCCAACGAUAUAAAACCAAAGAUACAAAUCCAACAAUAAAAGUAGUAUAUAUAAUGAUGAUCAUGUAUAGGGAUUCUUACCUCUACCGAUGACCGAUCUAAAUACAAAAAUCGAUGAGCUCCUCAAUAUACGAAUCUAAAAUCAAGAUAUUUUGCUCAAUACCUUCUUGUACAAUAAUUGCAUCUCUACAUGAUUAAGAUUAAACAUAAAAAUCAUGUAUAUAUAAAAAUUACAGAUAAAUAAUCUUAAUAAUAUAAAUUCAGGAUCCCUCGUAGGAUCAACCAAGAUUGGGAUUACUUAAGUACCUAGACCCUUCACUGACCCAUAAAACUCCUAGAGAGAAAAUCCAUGAAUAGAGAGAAAAUUUUAGAGAGAGAAAGUAGAGAGAAAGUGAGCUUUUUAGAGAGAAAAAGUGGAGAGAAUCUUCACAUCAUUCAAACGAGGCAAACAUGAUCGAGAUCAUCAAAGGUCAUAUCAAGGUGACUCAAUAUGGAUUAAUUAUGAUUAGAUACUAUAAAUUUUAAAUAAGGACUGGACUGAGAUCUAAUCUACUGCACGAAUUUUGAAGUGAUUCCAGAUCAUCUUAUUUUUAUCUCAAGUUUGUCCUAGGAUCCAUCAUAUAGUUAGAGAGAGAAAGAGAGAGAGUAGAAAGACCUUAAAGAGAAAAGGAGAGAGAGAGAGAGAGAGAAAUUCCUCUCUCUUUUUUCUUUUUUUUCUUUUCUUCUUCUUCUUUCUUUUCUUUUCUUCUUUCUUUUCCUGACCGAAUAGAGGAGGAACAUGAGGGGGGAAGGGGCUUAGUGCCUCAUGCUCCGUGAGGUGCGGUGACAUGGUCGGAGGUCCGACAGUAGCGACCGACGGCGGUGGAGCCAAAGAUGGGCGGUGGUGAGGUUCGACCGGCUUGAUCGACGAGAAAUUAGAAAAAAAAUAGAAAAAAUAAGAGAUCGCCCCUCUUUUCUUUGAUUUUCUCAAUUAUCGAUCGAUCAUCGAGGAUCAAACCUCCGGGGAAGGAAACUAAGGAGGUAGGGGUCAUGACCCAUAGGUGCGGCACCAUGGGCGACGAUACUAGUGGCCGAAAAAGGAAGGGAGAAGGCUCGUUCAAAAUAGAGCAAAAUAAAAUUUUUAUUUUUUUGUGGGAUUUUUGACGAACUUGAUGGCCGGUGGGGGUGCGCGAUGCCAUGGGAAAGAAGAAAAGGAAGAGAUGAAAGAGGAGUGGGGCUUACCUCCAUCUCCGAUGAGGUCUCCGAUGAGGAUUUGAGGCAAACACAAAGAGGGCGUCGGCAGCUUCAACGAAAAAAUUCGAGAGAAAGAAGAGGAAAAAAUUGGUGCUUGUCGUGGCCGACUAUGGAGGAGGAAGGAAUGAUUUUAUAGAGCCCUUCCUACGAUUCUUAUUUGCCCUAGGAGACCCUAUCCUAAUCGAGCAAGGGGAGGAAGAAGAAGACUCCCGUUGGGAGUCUUCUUCCAAAUUUUUUUUUUCAAGUGGGCUUGGUGGGCCUAAUCUUUAUGGGCUUGUAUAAAUUAGGAUCGGGUAUUACAUUCUACUCCUCUUUAAAAAAAAAAUUUGUCCUCGAAACUAGAGUGCUGCAAGUUAAAAUCUUAAGAGUACAAACUUUUUAUCUUAUCUUCAUGCUCUAAGAUAACCUUCUUUAUUGAGAAAAUAAAAUUCAAAUCCUCUACCAUAACAUCUUCGCUUAAAUCACCACACUUUCACUGUACAUUCUGAUUUAAAUUUAUCAAAUUUCUCAAGUUUUACUAAAUAAUCUUCAAUCAAUUAAGAUCAUAAUUUAUAAUUUGUCACUCUGAUACCAUUUACGUCACCAUCCUUAGUGGUUAUAAUCAGAGAUUUGAUAUCCUUCUACCAUACUCCAAUGAUUAUAACCCAAAGUUUUGAUAUAGCUUAUGUUAUAGUCCCUAGUGAUCUUAAAUCUAAGCUCUGGUACCAUUCUGUCAUAUCUUAAUCACUUAUAUCAUAGUUCCCAAAUGAUCAUAACCUAAGCUCUAAUACCACUCUGACACUUCCUAUUGAUCAUACAAAAAGUUUUGAUAUCGUUUCAUAAUCCCUAAUGAUCUUAAACCUAAGCUCUGAUACCACUCUGUCACGCUCCAAACUCAAUACCCGGAUCGGAUACGUGAUGGCCGCACACUCCUUAGGGCAUGCCCUAAAAAAUAUGUAAGGCUCAAAAUAAUUCAUUACAACCUCAACAUCCAUAAUGUCUAAUUUCAAUAAUAAUUAGUAAAACUUGUAUAAUUAUAAUUUAAAUUCUUUCAAUCUUCUGAUCAGGUAUCAAUGAUACUCUAUCUAUGCAUCCGCUUACUCGCAAAUCCAUAUCAUAGCAAAUUAUGAACAUCCUGCAAUUCUGAGAAGAAAAAAAAAGAUGUGAGCUUUACAGUCCAGUAAGAAUUCCGCAUAUCACACUAAUAUAAUAACAUAAUAUAAAAAUAAGAAUAAAUAAUAAAAUAUAAAAUCAAUAUUCAGAAUACUAUAAACAUCUAUAAAUUAUCUGUUUUGUAAAAAAAGAUGCAUCAUCAUAUGUUAACGGAUGAAAUAUUUUUAUUCAGUAUUAGUUUCAUAUCUUGUCUUCUAUUUCUUUUUUCAUAAUCACAUGAUCUUUAAUAUUUUUCUUUCUGGCUUUAGACUAAUCAAGACUAUACCUCAGUCUCCAUUCGAUCAAAAUUUCACUCAUAAGCCCAUCAAGACUAUCCCAGGCAUGAGCUCCUGGCUGACUGUCCCACAUAUAAAAGUCCAUGGAGGCUAUCCCAAGCAUAAACUCUUGGCGGGCUAUCCCAGGCAUGAGCUCUUGGUCGGUUGAUCCAUAUAUAAAUCUGUGAGGGCUGUCCCAAGCAUAAGCUCCUAACAGACUGUCCCAGACAUAAACUCCUGACGGAUUGUUUCACAUGACGAGGCUAGUCCAAAUCAUAUCUUUUUCAUUUAAUUAUUAUAUAUUGAUUUCACCAAAUCAAUUUCGACUUACAGUGUGAUCAAAAUAGAUAUGUCAUAUCCAUAUAAUCAUAUCAUCAAUCACUGACAUACAUACAUAUUAACACACAAUAUAUGUACAUUGAAAAAUCAUACGAGAAACAAUAGUAUCUCAACAUGAUAAUCCAUCAACACGCAUCUAACGAUAUAAAAUCAAAGAUACAAAUCCAACAAUCAAAGUAGUAUAUAUAAUGGUGAUCAUGUAUAUGGAUUCUUACCUCUAUCGGUGACCGAUCUAAAUACAAAAAUCGAUGAGCUCCUCAAUCUACGAAUCCGAAAUCAAGAUAUUUUGCUCAAUACCUUCUUGUACAACAAUUGCAUCUCUACAUGAUUAGGAUUAAAUAUAAAAAUCAUGUAUAUAGAAAAGUUAUUGAUAAAUGAUCCUAAUAAUAUAAAUCCAGGACCUCUCAUAGAAUCAACCAAGAUUGAGAUUACUUAAGUACCUAGACCCUUCACUAGUCCGUAAAACUCCUAGAGAGAAAAUCCAUAAAGAGAGAAAAAUUCUAGAAAAAAAAAUAGAGAGAGAAAGUGAGCUAUUUAAAGGGAGAAAGUGGAGAGAGAAUCUUCGUAUCCUUCAGACGAGACAAACAUAAUCGAGAUCAUCAGAGGUCAUAUCAAGGUGACUCAAUAUGGAUUAAUUAUGAUUAAAUGCUAUAAAUUUUGAAUAAGGAUCGAGCUGGGAUCCAACCUACUGCAUGAAUUUCGAAGUGAUUCCAGAUCAUCUUAUUUUCAUUUUAAAUUUGUCUUAGGAUCCAAUGAUGCAAUUAGAGAGAGAAAGAAAGAGAGUAGAAAGACCUUAGAGAGAGAAGGAGAGAGAGAGAAAUCCUUUUUUUUCUUCUUCUUCUUCUUUCUUUUCCUGGCCGAACAGAGGAGGGACACAAGGGGGAAGGGGCUUGGUGGCUCGUGCUCCGGUGAGGUGCGGCAGCAUGAUCAGAGGUCCGACAGCGGCGACCGACAAUGGUGGAGCCAGAGAUAGUUGAUAGUGGGAUUCGACCGACAAUAAAUUAGAAAAAAAAUUGAAAAAAAUAAGGGACCGCCCCUCUUUUCUUUGAUUUUUCCGAUUACCGACCGAUCAUCGAGGACCAAACCUCCGAAGAAGGAAACUAGGGAGGUAGGGGUCAUGACCCAUGAGUGCGGCACCAUGGGCGGCGACGCUGGUGGCCGAAAAAGGAAGGGAGAAGGCUCAUUCAAAAUAGAGAAAAAUAGAAUUUUUAUUUUUUGUGGGAUUUCCAACGAACCCGAUGACCGGCGGGGGUGCGUGAUGCCAUGAAAAGGAGGGGAAGGAAGAGAGGAAAGAGGGCUGGGGCUUACCUCUGUCUCCGGUGAGAUCUUCGACGAGGAUUUGAGGCAAACACAAAGAGGACGUUGGCGGCUUCAACGAAAAAAUCCGAGAGGAAGAAGAGAGAGAAAUUGGUGCUCGUCGUGGCCGGCCACGGAGGAGAAAGGAAGGAUUUUAUAGGGCUCUUCCUAAGGUUCUUAUUUGCCUUAAGAGAAUCUCUCCUAAUCGAGCAAGGGGAGGAAGUGGGAGUCUUCUUUCAGAUUUUUUUUUUUCAAGUGGGAUUGGUGGGCCUAAUCUUGGUGGGCUUGUAUAAAUUAGGACCAGAUAUUACACUCUUUUACUCAAAUUCUCUAGCAUGAUGACCAUUCGACCCUAGAGAAUUAUCAUUCUAUAUUCAAUUAAUUUUUUCUAUUAAUCAAUUUUUUUUGUGAUUGGUUUCUCGUAACUUUCAUUAUUUUCUUUCUUUGUUUAUUCUCAUCCUAUUAGAAAUUUCAAGUCUUUUUACUAAAACAAAGUUGAACCUAGUCCCGAAUCAACCUAUUUCUAUUUAUCAUCUUGAUCGAUCUAGUAUACUAGCUACCAAACUAUAACAAUAGCUUUCGAGAAGCAUUUUCUUUUUGUCACAUCUGGUUAGACACUAGUAGGAUAGAAUGCCAAAGAAAAGCUCUAAAGCAGUGAGAUAAGAUGAAGCAUUGUAGAGGAACGAUCAUACAAAAAAUGUUGAUGCCUCAAUUAAUGCAUAUGACGAGCAUCUUAAUCAAGAUGAUGUAGAGGUAGUUGAGAAAAAUGAUAAGGAAAGAAGUUCCAAUUCAUAGAAGGAAGUUCUGCAAUCACAAGGCAAUGAAGAGGCUGAAGACUCUAAGAAAGGCCGAAACUUGACUGAAGGAAAAGAGCCUGUCUCUGAGAAUAAUCAAAAAAGUCAGAAGAAUUGGUAGAAACAAUUGACAUGUCCCUCGAUGAUACUUCAAUAAGAGAGAUUGGCCAUGUGGUAGCUCAAGCAAUGCAAAAACAUUUGUACAGGCCAUCUUAUAGAUUCUCAAAAGGCCUCCAGAAGGGAUCAAAGCACCAAAGGGGCUCAAGCGAUUCAAGCUAUAGAAAGAAGCACUGAUGUAAUAGCCCAUGUUCCUCAAUGAAGUACCUCUAAGAUUAAUCAACAUGAUGUCAGGAGGCCUACUCGACCAGUGCAUACAAGGCAAAGAAUAGACAAUUAUGAAGUUGAUGAUGGUAAAAUUAUUUGCCUAUUAAACCACAAUAAGACUUUGAGAUGAGAGAAAACUAGGUGGUUGGCAAUUGAGCUACAAAUUGUGGAUUCUUUGAUGAUGUUCGGUCCACUGAUGGGCUGAAUAAAGAUUAAGACAUUAGAUCAGCCAAUCUUUGACUGACCAUGUCUUGAGGAGGACAUAACACAUGUGCUAAGUUGGCUUGAUAAUUCAACCAUGCAAUGCUAAGUUGUGAGGAUGUAACAUGUUUUCCAUCCUGCAGAGAAGUUUGCUUGAUAAUUUAACCAUGAACCAUAAUCUUCUUGAUUUAGUGGUUGAAUAGUUGCAGAAGUGGUGGAUCCACUCUGAAUAAAAGGCAACAACAAAAACAACAAGAAACAGCUUCACUCUCUCCAGCACAUCAAAUAGCACUACUUUUAUUGCAAAUGUAGGUGGCAAUCUAUCUUAAGGUUAAACAUCCAACAAGAAUCUAUGAUUUGCCCUACUCUAGGGACCCAGGUUAGUUUUAAAUUGAACUUGGAAGAUUGGCAUGCACACACUAGCCUUUAAUGGCUCUUUAGGUUUUAAAUUAUUUUUUUAUGUUGAAUGUUCAUCUUUCCUUCAAGGGAGUUGCUUGAAUCUUGUCGAAACAGAAAGGAUUUCCACCCUAUCCGUGUGUGGAUUCAAUUGACAAAGUUCUUUUAUUUUCAUCCAUGGUCCAUAUCUUGCCACUGAAGCAUAGCCCUCAUGUUUGUGGAGUGGGAGAAAUGGAAUUCAAUAGAAUUGAGUAAAUGCAUAACUUGUUCCUAUCAUUUAAUGUUAGAGAGUAAUCUUGUAUUUAUGCUUAAUUCACUCAUCACUAGAAAAUUUGUCUUCCUUUAUCUUCCCUUAGUAUGUCUUUAAGUAAAGGCAGCCAGGAAGUUUUUUCAAGAGAAAAUCCUUAAAUCCCCCCAAUAAUGUUUGCAAAAAUGAAACCUCUUUUUUUUUUUUUUUUUCAAUUUUAUCAGCUUUAAUCUUUGUCAGAGUAAGCUUGGGAACACCUCUAGGAGGUCUAAGCGAUUUAAUCAUCCAAUGUAAAUGUUCAGCAAAUUACAUGUGCAAAAUAUCUCUCAUGCAUCAUUCCUUUCACCUAGGCCAGUCUCUAGUUGAUUUUGUGCAAGCAUGAAGCACCGGAUUUAAGUUCAUAUCUCACAUUUGUCUUCACACUGAAUUAGUAUUAGAAUCUGAAAAUCUAAACCUAGAAUUCCAUUUUAUUUGCUGUCGUACCACAUCAUGCCAAUAGUUUGCGUUAGUGAGAGCGUAGAUUUCAUCACAUGUGCAAAUGUUGCAUAUUUAAGGUUUCCCAGAGCUGCAUCAAUACCAAAGGGAAGAAAAGAAAAAAAAAAAUGAAAAAGGCUAGAUACAUACAAGCACUAUGUUUGCAUAUGAUAACCACUGAUAUCCAUCUACCAUAUAUUGUUCAUCUUUCAUGUAUGGAUGUAUGAUUGUUUACCAUGUAUAUCCCCAUAAUGCCUAUCUUAUGUGGCUGACUGCACAAUAGUUUUAUUACAUUGUUUACCCAGCCCUGCUUAGCAUAUUUAGCCUGUUGUAGAAAUGCACAUAUUCAUGUGUAGGUCACUGAAGUUGUACAGAUAGGUAUUUAUCACAAGGGAAUAAAUCAACUUAUAUCUCACAUAUUCCACACUGUGUCAAUUGCCACCAAGUUGUUCCUUCCUAAGUGCCUUAAAGAACAUGUUAUCAAGCAUCCACUUAAUUAAAUAAUAGCUUCUUUGCAUUCGACUUUCUCCUCGAUAAACUAAUACUAAGUGUUUGACUAUCUAAUAUUAUUUAACUGAUUAUUAGCUAUACAUGUAAGCAAAUUCCUUAUUUAAUACGAGAGACAGAAUGUUAGAGAAAAAUAUAGCAUAAUUUUUGGUUUCUGUAGAUAGACUUCCUUUUCAAUAGAUACACUCCUGUUGAUUCUUCGUUCAAACAAUGUUUUAGAAAAAGAGACAAAAAAGUGGGAGAUCAGUUAUUCGCUCACACAUAAUGAGCAGUGAAAAAAAAUGCAAGUGGCAGAAACUAGCAGAAAAUCAAAUCCUGACAAUUUCAUUCACUGAUGGGAUCACAUCCAUCCAUCCGUUGAUCCCACAGAAAAAUCUAGUCCACCUUAUUUAAUUUCUGAACAUAGCAUGAGCUCUGAUGGGUAACAACAUGAUGAGCAAGGAUGCAUAUUAAAGGCAUGUGUUUAAUGGCAGAACCAAACAUACCAAUCUUUAAUUUGCAUCAAAUAAUAUUUUUUUAACAUGAAAUGGCCUUAACAAAAAUAACUGGGAACCAUAUUUCGUAAGAUAAAACCAGUACAAGCAAGAAAAGUCAUAAACUGAAAAAAAGAAAUACUAUCAAAAUCAUUAUCAAUUUUCAAAAUUUACAAGGUGAUCAUCCAUCAAAUAAAAUUAACAUAAUAGGUAAUCACUUUUAAUAUUAUUUUACGUGGAAACAUCCUAUGAUGCUUAUCUGGCUGAUAAUCCUUAAAAAGAAAUGAUAGAAAUGAAAGAUAAAGAUAAUGAUAAACUCAACGGCAUUACCAUGAAAUGCUUCCUGAGCUGAUGUUUAAUCAAUAUGGAGAAGCAGAAUACACAAGUAUAUUUGUCAGCAUCAUAAUUCACAGUAUAAAUCCCUCUGUUUUCAUGCUUCCAUUAAUUAUCAUCAUCUUCACAUCCUAGUAGGCAAAAUGGAUAUGAGAGAAGAUUAUAGAAUAUUUUAUGACUAGCUCUUUGACAAAAACAUUAUGCAAACUUUGUGUAUAUGCAGUGUAGAAGGUAGAAUCAGAAUAGGACAAAUUUGAAGCAAAUAAGAAGUAUAACACUGCUAAACAAGAUAGAAGUACAGUUCUCACAAUUAUUCAAUUAAAAAACUAUACUUCCUGGUCAUAUCGUACGAUGCAACUUAGCUAAAAACAUCAUGUAGAUCUCACCAAAGAUCGAAAAGAUGAUUCAGUGUUGUUCAGAAAUGUAAUGACUGAUUACGUGCACACUUAUUUGCACAGCCCUCCAUGAGAAACCGAGAAGAUUACUUCUUCCAUCAUGGCUGAUACUGCCUCCUCUACACCAUAAUUACAAGUGGAAAUACGGAUCAUUCUCUUGUUUGCACUUGAUGACAUGCACAAGGAAGUUGCAACGAAUACAAUCUAUCAUCCAUGGAAGGAGUGUGAAACAGGUGCUCAUUCAAUGCUUAAGUGGCCCAAAAGACUACUUUUUGUUCUGUUGAGCACCCAAAUCAUAAGGAAGUAUUGCUCAGUGAGUGAUUGACCCCUUAGGUCAUUAGUUUAGGAUCAAUGUAAACACUCGUCAUGUUCUAAUUAUCUAAUCAAAUCAUCGAUUUCAUAUCUCUUUUGAGCUUUAUCAUGUCAGAGCCAACAUGUCUCUCAAUCUUGUUCAAUUACCUGGCAAUAAUUUGGGAAUCUUCAUAUUCCCCAUCCUUAGACCAGAGAUAAUCCAAACACAUAAAGAAGAGAAAUCUUUCAAAAAAACAAAAAACAAGAAUGAAUCAUUGCAAAUCUAGUGUCAACCUUCCAUCUUCUUGAGGUUCGAAACCAAUAUUAACUGUGUUUUGCUUAACACUUUGUACCAUCUAGUGUCAAAUACAAAAUUCAGAAAGAACUUAAUAAUACUGACAUAUAUAUUCCAGUACGAAUGGAAAUAGAAAAUCCAAAAUAAAUCUAUCAAAACAUAUUGAGAAUAUCAGACUAUUCGAAUCACCAUUACAUCUCUUGCAUACG